GUACUUACCUGGCAGGGGAGAUACCACGAUCACGAACAUCGUUUUUUCCAGUGCAUUUUAGGCAGGCUGACCCCUGAAUUCCUCCAAAUGCAGGAAACGCAACUGCAUAAUUUUUAGUUGGGGACUGUGUUCACACUCUCCCCUG
ensembl:snRNA U1 U1 spliceosomal RNA